ACGGAGCUUAGAGAGCUUGCUUUUUAAGCUUAGUGGCGAACGGGUGAGUAACGCGUGAGUAACCUGCCCUAGAGUGGGGGACAACAGUUGGAAACGACUGCUAAUACCGCAUAAGCCCACGGUACCGCAUGGUACUGAGGGAAAAGGAUUUAUUCGCUUUAGGAUGGACUCGCGUCCAAUUAGCUAGUUGGUGAGGUAACGGCCCACCAAGGCGACGAUCGGUAGCCGGACUGAGAGGUUGAACGGCCACAUUGGGACUGAGACACGGCCCAGACUCCUACGGGAGGCAGCAGUGGGGAAUAUUGCACAAUGGGGGAAACCCUGAUGCAGCGACGCCGCGUGGAGGAAGAAGGUCUUCGGAUUGUAAACUCCUGUUGUUGAGGAAGAUAAUGACGGUACUCAACAAGGAAGUGACGGCUAACUACGUGCCAGCAGCCGCGGUAAAACGUAGGUCACAAGCGUUGUCCGGAAUUACUGGGUGUAAAGGGAGCGCAGGCGGGAAGACAAGUUGGAAGUGAAAUCCAUGGGCUCAACCCAUGAACUGCUUUCAAAACUGUUUUUCUUGAGUAGUGCAGAGGUAGGCGGAAUUCCCGGUGUAGCGGUGGAAUGCGUAGAUAUCGGGAGGAACACCAGUGGCGAAGGCGGCCUACUGGGCGCCAAC
rnacentral:rRNA from 1 species